AAGAGCAUCUUCAUUAUAAGAUAGAUGAUAUUGAAGGAGAAAAAAGAGCAAAGCAGGACAGAGAGAAGGAUAAUACUCAAGGAGCAAAAACAAUAGGAAAGCAGAAGAGAGACAGGGAGAAGUAUAGGAUCUAAAGAGGAGCUCCUUUCGGUCCAAUAUGGAGAGCUGAUCGCGGCAAGAGCUGCCAUCUCAUGCACAAUGGCAAUACUUGACAUUUGAGAAGCUAAAUGUUAAGUUAGGCCAAGUGCAUGGUGUGGGAGCAACUCCUUCUGUGCUUCGCCCACCCAUUGGACUGAAGGGAGCUCCUUCAAUCAUCUUGUGGAUAAUCCUAGCAAGAUUCAAACCCCAGAUCGAGCCAGGAGAUCAGAGAUGGUACGUUUUACAACAAUGUUAUGUGCUUUCGAGAAUGGCAAAUUCUUCCCCUUCUGUUUUUCAAGUUGCCAUGCACAAAGCAAAGUCCUCAAAUUUCUUCAUUAAUUGCCAAGAUUGAGAUAGCCAUAUUUGCUCUUGAAAUAGUAGAGAUAUGUACUUGCAUUCGAUUAAUGUCAUGAAAAAUCCCAUUUUGAAAGCUGAUAAAUGAUUUUAAAUCGGAA